GGUUAAGCUACUAAGAGCGCACGGAGGAUGCCUAGGCGCUAGGAGCCGAAGAAGGACGUGGCGAACAACGAAAUGCCUCGGGGAGCCGUAAGCAGGCGC
rnacentral:rRNA from 1 species